ensembl:lncRNA novel transcript
GCCGCUCCUGCCGUGCAUGUUGGGGAGCCAGUACAUGCAGGUGGGCUCCACACGGAGAGGGGCGCCGACCCCGUGAUAGGGCUUUACCUGGUACAUCGGGGUGGCGCGUGCCAGACACCAACGGUCGGAAACCGCCAGACACCAACGCUCGGAAUCCACGCCAGGCCACGACGGAGGGCGACUACCUCCCUUCUGACCCUGCUGCUGGCGUUCGGAAAAAACGCAGUCCGGUGUGCUCUGAUUGGUCCAGGCUCUUUGACGUCACGGACUCGACCUUUGACAGAGCCACUAGGCGAAAAGGAGAGACGGGAAGUAUUUUUUCCGCCCCGCCCGGAAAGGGUGGAGCACAACGUCGAAAGCAGCCGUUGGGAGCCCAGGAGGCGGGGCGCCUGUGGGAGCCGUGGAGGGAACUUUCCCAGUCCCCGAGGCGGAUCCGGUGUUGCAUCCUUGGAGCGAGCUGAGAGCUCGAGUACAGAACCUGCUAAGGCCAUCAAACCUAUUGAUCGGAAGUCAGUCCAUCAGAUUUGCUCUGGGCCGGUGGUACCGAGUCUAAGCACUGCGGUGAAGGAGUUAGUAGAAAACAGUCUGGAUGCUGGUGCCACUAAUAUUGAUCUAAAGCUUAAGGACUAUGGAGUGGAUCUCAUUGAAGUUUCAGGCAAUGGAUGUGGGGUAGAAGAAGAAAACUUCGAAGGCUUAACUCUGAAACAUCACACAUCUAAGAUUCAAGAGUUUGCCGACCUACCUCAGGUUGAAACUUUUGGCUUUCGGGGGGAAGCUCUGAGCUCACUUUGUGCACUGAGUGAUGUCACCAUUUCUACCUGCCAUGUAUCGGCGAAGGUUGGGACUCGACUGGUGUUUGAUCACUAUGGGAAAAUCAUCCAGAAAACCCCCUACCCCCACCCCAGAGGGAUGACAGUCAGUGUGAAGCAGUUAUUUUCUACGCUACCUGUGCACCAUAAAGAAUUUCAAAGGAAUAUUAAGAAGAAACGUGCCUGCUUCCCCUUCGCCUUCUGCCGUGAUUGUCAGUUUCCUGAGGCCUCCCCAGCCAUGCUUCCUGUACAGCCUGCAGAACUGACUCCUAGAAGUACCCCACCCCACCCCUGCUCCUUGGAGGACAACGUGAUCACUGUAUUCAGCUCUGUCAAGAAUGGUCCAGGUUCUUCUAGAUGAUCUGCACAAAUGGCUCCUCUCCUCCUUCCUGAUGUCUGCCAUUAGCACUGGAAUAAAGUUCCUGCUGAAAAUCCACAUCUCCCCUGGGUCCGGUGUUCUGGAAGUGAGAGAGACAAUGUCACACCUCAAGGAGACAGCUCUCUAGACAGGAAGGUUAUUCACGUCCCAUGUCAAGUCUAGCUAGAGUUCAGAGCAAUUGAGAAGUGCGAUUUUAUCUCCUGCCUUUCAUUCUAUACCCUGCUUCUGAACCAUCGUGUUCAACUGUGAAACUCACGCUUUGGUGACCCUGACUCCAAAACUUAAUACACCCAAGGUCAGCCCCAGUGAUCUGCUUCAUAGCGAGGACUUUGGGUGGGUCUUCCCAGGGAGUAGGGCACCCUCAGAGAAUGUGGCUUUGGACUUCAUCACAGCUAGGGUCUUUUGUGUCACUUCAGAUCUAAACUUGUAACUGUGCUAGAUCUGUUUCUAAUGUGACAACAUCACAAACCACGAGUCCAGAAGCCUAAUCCAUAAUCCUACCUCCUCAUGACGAAGUCUCAUGCUCUGUGCUCAACAUGGUUAGCUGCACAAGAUGUAAACCAAAGCUUCACUGAACCCUCGACCCAAAUCGGUAACUCAAGUGCAUCAAUCAUAAAGAACCUCCCCGAACUCAGUAUUUAUGAUUAUUUUUGAGGCAGGGUCUCACUCUGUCGCCCCGGCUGGAGUGCAGUGGCAGGAUCAGGGCUCCCUGCAGCCCCGACCUCCCAGGCUCCAGCGAUCCUCCUGCCUCAGCCUCUUGAGUAGUUGGGAGUAGAGAUGCCUCCCACAUCGCCUGGCUAAUUUUUGUAUUUUUGUGGAGAGGGGAUAUCUCGCCACGUUGCCGAGGCUUGAAGCCAGAUCAAGCAAUUGGGUUCCUUGGAUUUCCGAAAUAGACCCCAAUAUUCUGCCUUUACCCCGGAGGAUGCAGAUGUACCUUCUCUCAGGCCGAUGACCUCAGGCCUCCACGGUCCCUGGAGCUCUAGGAAAGGUGGGCGCGAUCUCGCGCCCACACCCAGUGCUCUGGGUCAUAAGCCUGGAUCUGGAAAAACAAAUGCGCUUUGAGAAGACGGGGACUCCCCAGGAUACCCCUCUCUCCCCUCGUCCAGCCUCCAGCCCACCCGAUUCCUCCCCACAUCCUCCACCUCCCCAGGCCCCACCCACCUCCUCCAACUCCUCCGGGGAAACCCAAGCCCUGCAGCGCAUGGAACAGAAGAACUGGAACCGACGCUUCUGGAACAAGGCUAUCUGAGAGCAGUUCUUCCUGGCCCUCGGGUUCAUGGGACGGCAUAACUGGAACCAAUGCUUAGGGCGCAAGGGUAUGUGAGAGUGGGUCUUCCCGUACAGGAAGUAGAAGAUCUUUUGUUUGGGGGCCUCGUCGUCCUCCUCCAUGUCAUUGGCCAGAUAGCUGAGGACAGAAAUCAGGUUGCUGCUCAGGGGCACCACCAGGAGAGACCUCCGGCUGAGGUCAGCUUCCCAGAGAGGAAGGUAAGGGACCGUCCCUAGCUCAGGACUGGCACCCACCCUGCAGAGAGCCACGCCUUCCUCAGGAGGGCUCUGCUGGACAGAGACCUGAUCAAGGGCAUCUCCCACUCCUUCAGGAUGGAGACAAAAACCCAACUGGUGACCAAGAGUGGUGGCUUAGGCCUGGAAUCCCAGCACACUGGGAGGCCGAAGCAGGAGGAUCACUUGAGGCCAGGAGUUUGAGACAGGCCUGGGCAACAUAGCAAGACCCUUGUCUCUAUUAAAAAUAUAAAAAAUACGCCAGACGUGGUGGCUCAUGCCUGUAAUCCCAGCACUUUGGAAGGCUGAAGCAGGUGGAUUGCUUGAGACCAGGAGUUUGAGACCAGCCUGGCCAACACAGAGAAACCCCAUUUAUGCUAAAAAUACAAAAAUCAGCCUGGUGCGGUGGCACACCCAUUAGUCCUAGCUACUCAAGAGGCUGAAGCAUAAGAAUUGUGUGAACCCAGGAGGCGGAGGUUGCAGUGAGCCAAGAUUGGGCCCCUCCAUUCCAGCCUGAGAGACACAGCAACACUCUUGUCUUGAUAAAUAAAUAAAUAAAUAAAUAAAUAAAUAAAUAAAUAA